rnacentral:rRNA from 1 species
CCGCACAAGCGGUGGAGUAUGUGGUUUAAUUCGAUGCAACGCGAAGAACCUUACCUGGUCUUGACAUCCCGGAGACCCUUAGGAAACUAGGGGGUGCUUCCAUCUGGAAGAAUCUGGAGACAGGUGCUGCAUGGCUGUCGUCAGCUCGUGUCGUGAGAUGUUGGGUUAAGUCCCGCAACGAGCGCAACCCUUGCCUUUAGUUGCCAGCAGUUCGGCUGGGCACUCUAAAGGGACUGCCGGUGUUAAACCGGAGGAAGUGGGGAUGACGUCAAGUCCUCAUGGCCUUUAUGACCAGGGCUACACACGUACUACAAUGGCCGAUACAAAGGGCAGCGACACUGCGAGGUGAAGCCAAUCCCGUAAAAUCGGUCUCAGUCCGGAUUGGAGUCUGCAACUCGACUCCAUGAAGUUGGAAUCGCUAGUAAUCGUGGAUCAGCAUGCCACGGUGAAUACGUUCCCGGGCCUU